GCCAGCAGCUACAUCACCCUGCAACUCGCAGCUGACAGCCCACUAAAACAAAGCAGGUAUGAGCCUGGCCAGUACCUGGAUGGGAGACCUCCUGGGAAAGCUGAGGUUGCUGCUGGAA
rnacentral:rRNA from 1 species